GUCAGGUUUCCAUAGGAAACCAUGCUGUUGGAAGCUGAUUCUUCCAGAGGUCUAACACUAGCCUCUGUAAGUCAGGAAGGCAGCUUAGCAGGCCCACUGGGAAGUAGCAGAUGGAUAGGAAAAUGACAUGCUUUCCAAAAGUAUUUAAAUAUCAACUCUCUUUUGUUACAGCUGUGUAAGAGCCAUAUAAAAUCAAGUAACAUGUAGGAGAGAAAAGGGGUCAUGAAGGAGGAGUUUGAGCAAAAAGUAAUGCUAAAAAAGAAAAAAAAAUCCAUUGCAAAUGGUAAUGUAAAUAAGGUAAAACUUGAAAACUAUGAAGCAAUACUGCAGAUAGUCAUGUCUGAAGGAAUACCUAGAGGGUUCUUUUUGGUGGUGAUCUUCACUCCUGGAUCUGAAUUUUUCUGGACUGUCUCCCUUACCACUUCUGCAGGACACAAUUGCAACAGAAUUUUCCUUGAAUCAACGGAGGACUAUUACUUGAUGAGAUCAUUGUUUUCAGAUUUCCCCAGGAAGGAAAUACUGUCAACACAGUCAGUGUCUGAGUUUAUCCUCUCAGUGGAAAAGGUGGGUGAAAAACACUUAUUACUUCCUAUGUGCAUAAUUUAAACCUGUGAAACAUACUGCAGAAAUGUAAGGAGCCAUGAAUUUAGACACCGUUUUCAGCUAAAAUAAAGGUUAAAGUUUGUCUGUAGUGUAAGCCUGAGGUUGCAAAUACCCUCAGAAAAUGUUGAGUUUUGUGUGCAAAAGAGUAUGGUAGUGCAAGUCAGGCUGAAGGAGACAAAGUACAAAUUCAGAUAUUUCUAUCAGUAUUUACCUAAAAAUUAAAAAAUGAAACAAUAUUUUCCAAAGUACAGGCACACAGGCAGCAGGCUUGAAAAUUGCAGCAAUUCUCGGUUCUUUGCUUGUUCCAUUAUAUUUAUCAUAUGCUUAGUGCUUUAUGGGACUGGCAGCACAAAAUUUCUGAUUAGAAGUUUGUUCACUGUAGUUCAUCACAAAGUGCCUGUGUUCUUUAUGCUUGGUUGAACCACAAAGAUUCUUGCAGCAACAUUGUGAACAACUGGAUCCCAUAAUAUUUCAUGCAACAAAACUAUUGAACAGAAGGCAUGAUUUAGGUGCUAAAGUAUUUUAUGGCACAUAUUCUUAUGUGAUAUGGCUUAGAUAAGUUCAGAACUCUAUUCAGAACAUCCAGUCUUAGAAUAAGGGUUGAUAAGUUAUUUUGACAAAAAUCUGUUUACCUUCCAAAAAUGCAUACAUGCAGGACAAUCAGUGCAAACAAUGGACAGAGAAGAUAGUGAGUAAGAGAUUAAUUCAGAGAUCCUCAGUCAAAGAAAUAGUUCCACAUACUUUUUUAUUUUGUUUUGAGGAUAGGUAUGAUCCUACAAAGAAAUUUGCCACAAUCUUUUGAUAUUUAUGCAAAGGAGAACAGUUGACAGUAGAUAACAAUUUGAAUGCAGGCCUAAAUCAGGGGACAAUAAAACAUCACAGUAUAAGGAAGGCAUAGGUAUGCCAGCGUUAGCAAUGUCUAAAACCUACUCCGAAUUUGUGGUCACAGCACAAGGGAUAAAAUAGCAAUGUAGAAUUAGUAUGAUUUAAGAAAAUCGUAUAUGUGUCUUGACCUGCAGCUGACACCAGUUUAAAUUAUGCUGAAGAAUCAACUCUGACUCCUCAAUGCUACCAAAAUACUUUCUCCUGCAAACAAUGGAAUUAUCUCCUCCCACACAUACCAAGAUUCACUGGAAGUUCAAUGUAACUCAGCACAUGAAAGUAUUUGGGCAACAUUCAUUUCAUAUUUGUAAGUUGAAGUAAUAACAAGGAAAGGAGCUCUCUUGGGGACGGAUACGAAAUGUUCUGUGCUACCAAGAAAUGGAAAGAGGAAACUUGUAGAUGAUAAAGAUAAAAGUGCAAGAUGUACUGAAUGUCCUAAAGGGAAAGUAUACCCUGCAAAGCCCUCUGCUCGGCCAAUGUCUGUUGUCUGUUCUUUCUCUGGAGCUUUACUCACUAGAGAGCAUUACUCACUUAUAAAGUGAUUUAAGUGCAGGCCUCUUUGUCUUGUGGGUUUAUACAUUGGCUUUAGUCCUGUGUGCUUCUUAAUUUAAAUGCUAACUGAGAUCACAAAUGUCAUUGGGAGGUUUGUUCCCAAACAACCCUCUUGCCACUCAAGCCGCUUUGUAGCCUGAACUUUCCAGACAGGAGGUGUCUCUGGCCUUAUGAACACAAGAAUGUAAACCUGGAGAGAAGCCCCUCCAAGACAAUGAUUUAUGGGCAGCUGGAAUUUGCAUGCAUUGCUCCGAAUCUGUGGAAGAAUCUAUGUGGUUGUUCAUGGCCUUCAGAAACAUGGAUGCUGCAAAGCAGAGCUAUGGAGAAUAUGGAAAGCAGGCUCAAAAAGCAUCUGCAAAUCUGUGCCAAUAUUAUUGCCUCUGUCAUCAAGCAAUGGAAAGGUUUUUCUAGUUAAAUUCAAGUAAUUAAAUCUCCCUGCUCUCAUUAAAAAAAAUACAACUGUCUGCUGCUGGUCUGAAGAAUUGCACAGAGUGAACGUAAAUUUUAAUUUCAUGGUGCAAGUGUUAAAUUAUUGCCAUCUAAGCUGUCUGCCAGUGUUACAUGAAAUCCCACCACAUUUUAAUAAUUCUCCCUUUGUUUUGGAUGGAAAUACCACGUGUUGUGAUUUGGAAGUUUUUAUGUGCAAUUAGAGCCCUGAGAACUACAACAUAAUCACAUUCAAUUCACCUAAUUGGACAGCGAGGAAACUGUCAUUUCUGAAAUGGUUUGUGUCUUUUGGAAUGUCUGUGUGUAUACACAUGCGUAUAAAAUGAAACAUUUUCUCACCCAUCCUGUGUUAAAAUGUAAUAGAAACUCCUGCUAACUGAAGUUGAAGAUAUAGCUGGGUGUUCUUUAGUAACCUCAAAACAUAUACGUGUGCGUGUAAAUAAAAAACUGUCCUUCUAAACACAAGGAUCCUUCCCUCCUACUUACUUUGCAACAUCUUAGUAAGGAUUUGCCAUCAAUUCCCUCUCUUUACAGUGCAUUUGAUGACAUUUUACAGAUCAUCAUACUAAAUAAGUAAGAACCAUCCUCUGAUUUAGAAGAAAAACCUUUAUUUAUUUCAAUUUAUUUUGGGAGUUCAGAAGUAAUGACAAACUUGACAAUCUUCAUGACAAACAUGACAAUCUUCACAUCACUUUAAGCUGUGUGACCAAAAAGCCAUUAGCUUCACAGAAACAGACAAUACAUUUCAUCCUGAAACAACACUUAUGAUCAACAUUUAUGCAAUCUAUAGGUACUUCCUAUAUUUGUAUCAAUGCAAGUAAGAAGACAUGGAGUAUCAAACCAGCAAGGGCUUAGAAAUAUCAAGCCCAAGAGUUUACCCAUUUACUUCAGUGGAAAAUAGUGCUAGUAAAUAUCAAUACAUAUUUUAAUCUUUUAUUUCAGUAAUUUCCAUGUAAAAGCAAACAUAUUCUGCCAACUUUAUUCAUUGUCUUUGAUCUUUUUUUGAAGCAUAUUAUGAUAGAUUUCUGAAUCUUUUAAUUCAAUGUUGAAGUAGAUAUUAAGUAUAUCACAACACCAAUCCACACUAAAUAGAACUUUUGUUUUUUGUUCUUUUGCUGAAAUGUCUGACAGUAUUUCAAGAAUAAUUUAAUUAUGAACUUUAUAUUAACAAAAGACAAGUGAUUUUUUAUUCCAUUCAGUGUGGAAUAAGAUACUACCUAUAUUUGUUAAGCCCUGUGUAUCAACCAGAAUUUGCAAAGGGAAGUUAUCAACUUCAGAUACUCAUUCUCCAUUUCCCAUAAAUAUGUUAAAAAUACAAAGUCAGCUCCUAAGUUUUUCAUCAAAUAAACUAGCUUAUUAAGAUUAAGUGGCCUGAAACCACCAUCUGUGAGUUCACAUUUAUAUCUAGAAAACCUGUAUAAUCAUGUGUAUUGAGAGUAAGGCUUAGUGUUGGAAGGCCCAACCUUGUAAACAAGCUUUGUUUACACAAGAAGACAAUAGGACUCUUCUUUUGUUUCAGAGUUUACAUGUUCAGAGGCUGAGAUCACUAUUUUUGAAAUGUGAUGAUGGGAAUACAAAGUAAUUACCUUUAUGAAGGUUUUACAAAGAAUCCUGUAAGUAAAGCCCAUGACAGAAAUAUAUAGUGUCUCCAAAGAAACAAUUAUGAUGUAUUGUGUUUGAAUAAUAACUCAGAAUGUUUUAUCAUCAUCUGUUUACAUAAUAAGUCAUAAUAACUUUUCAAAAUAUGGUGCUUGCAUUUUUAUUAUUGUUUUAAGUGUACAUAGGGGAAUUACUACAGCCUAGAAUCAUAAACUUUGUAAAACUUUGUUGAAGACUGCAUUUUUAUUCCCAUCCUCUUCUGCUCAAACAAAAAUGUAAAGGAAACAACACACAAAUAAAAGUACGCUAAAAUAAUCCCAUGUGUCUGGCUAAAAGAAAAGACAGGAAAUUCUUAAAAGUGUGGUUAUAAACUGAAAAAUGCCUUUAAACAUGGCUUCCUACUGUCUCACAUUUAUAUAUUCAUAAUUAUUUCACUAUCAAUAUUUUCUUUGCUUAUAUGUACACAAAUUACAUUAUUCAACAUGCCAAGACCACAUUCUCAGUCUGAUAUCUGGAAUACAAAGCCCUGUUGUCACUGGCUUCUACUACAGUGUUAAAGAUGGAACUGAGAGAAAUUCCUAGAUUCCCUCUCCUGGAAACUUUAUGAUUUAAGCCUACUUCUGACCUUUAGCAAUAUUUCCUUGGGGAGACUGAGGUCCAAAUUAAACUUUCAGGAAUUACAAGAGAAAUUUCAAUGAACUCUAGAGAUGCCAGAAAGACAAAUGACAAAAGUAGUUAAAGCAAAAGUGCUGAGCACGUCUUAAGUGCUUCAAUUAGAACUCUUGUUCCCCACAGGAUGUUCCAGAAAGGUGUAGAGGUGCUCACAGACCCUCACAAUGGUUUCAGACAUCUAGCCCACAAAGUAGAAUCCAAAGCCAAGAUUAGAGAGCUGUUACCUACAGAGAACAGAUGAUGUUAUGUGAGAGGACUAACAAAGUAGAAACAUUAUGGAGUUAUCUAGAAUCUAACUCAUAAUUUUGAAAGUCAGAUAAUGCCAACCUAUGUAGUUGAGGCACUCUGUCACAGUGGAAGACUGUGGUUAUUUCCAUCCACUCAGUGUCCACAGACCAUCAAGGUAAUUCAAUUUUUGUUUCAAAGGCUCCGUUUUUUUAAAAAAACAUAACCACUGUUGAAGAUGAGAUGUUAAUAAUGGAACAUAGGAUUAUUCUUAGUUCUACUAUUUACUGAAAAAUAGACAUACAAACUGUGUGGGGCAAAGACAAAGGCCAGAAUCCUGCUUGCUCCAUAAAAAUUGUUUCCUUCCUCAUUUAUCUCCUUGAAUCUUAAUGAGUUUUGCAGUUGUAGUGCACAUCUGUACAGCUAUGUAGACUAGCCUGGGACCCAGUGGGUAAGGUGUGCCUCCUCAGAAAUUAGAGUUUAAAAUACCUGAGGUCAAAGCAGAUGUAAAAAGUUGUCUCCUUCUGAAAGGUUUCCAGUUUUAUUGGCAUAUACUACGUUUGUCUGAGUGCACUUUCCAGGUCUGUGCUAUAAGCUAACACUACCAUUUAUCUUCUGGAUUCCCAGACUGUUUAAGUCAGACAGAGGUACAUGCCCGCUUCACCCUGAGCCCUUCUGCGAAUGGUCAGAAACAGAAUACUGUGUGAUCUCAAAAAGAUUCAGAGCAAACAUGGAAGACAGUUAUGUUUAAAUGACACUCUGGUUGGGCAGGCACUGAACGCAGUAACAGUUUCAACAUAGACACCUUAAACCUUCCAGUAUUCUAUUUUAGGUUUGUUCUUCAUUCUUGCAUCACAGCAGGAGUUGUACCCUUUAUCAGUGUUGAUGUCUUCUUAAAAGAGGGUCUGUGACCGCAUUUGAAGUAUCUCUACUACCAGUUGUGGUGAUUUCACCCUGAUGUGCAGCUAAACUACUACAUCAUUCUCCUGUUACUCCUACUCAAAGGAAGAGGGGGAGAAAAUGAAAUGAAAAAAGGCUCAGGGUUUGAGAUUACCGUCACUGAUCAGUGAUUAUGAGAAUAAAUAAACAUAGUGUGGAAAAAUCUUUGUAUAGUCAUUAAAAUACCCAAGUGUGGCAUUCUAGUAGAGAUUUAAUAAGGAGAAGAAACUGACCCUCAGACUUAGGAAUUCAUUUUCUUUACUUUUCUACAAGGACAGACAUACAUCUCUCUAUCUAAUUUAUAUAUACAUACGUAUAUAUAAAGCAAAGCUUUUAAAGAAUUUUUAUUUAUCAUUGUAAAAUCUCUACUUAGAAUUGGAAAGAGAUAGAAAAAAAAAAAGUAGACUUUGAUUAUCACCUUGAUACAUCUAAGUGUUUACAGUGGGAGCUAAGCUGUAGCAUAGCAAUGUAAUAAAAAUAGAAAGUAAAGUGACGUAAAAAGUGCACUGAGGACUACCUUAUAACUAAUUCCAAACGUUCAAGAAUAGUAAAUGGUUAACAGUGAUGCAAAAGGAAAUUACAGAAAAAACAAUCAAAAAGGACUCCUAAACAAUGAAAGGAAACAAAAAAUUAAUAAAGCAGAAGACUGAAAAACAGAUAAGGAGAGCAAAACGGUGAAAGAUUUCACAGAAGAUUAUGAAAUUAGCACAAAAAAUUUUUAAACAAUCCUAAGAAUAAACUGUCAUUGAAGAACAGAAUAGGGAUUGUGGAGGAUCAUUUUUUAAGGGAUGAGGUAAAAAAAGAUGGAAAAUUUAAACAAAUUCUUCGCAUAGCUGUUCAGAAAGAAAUGUCAGCUCGCAGAGCUGUAGAAAUAUAGGUACAUAUUUUCUGGAGCAAAAGGAAGGAUAAAACACCUAAGUAAACACACACUGUAUGUGACAUAGUACAGAUGACAAUCUUAGCAUGUAUCACAUAAAAUAAUUUCUCAGUGCUAAAGCAUAUGCACUUCAGAAUUCACAGAAAGGGACAAAAAACAGCAUCACUCUUCACAAGACUAAUUUACAUCACUUCACCAUUCAGAUAACUUUUCCUUUUCAAAAUGUUGCUUUGAAGUCACAUGGGCUACUUACAUGACUGACAACUCUAGGACUGCAGUGAAAAAGAAGUUUCAGUGGAAUUAAAGAAAAAGUAACGGGAAGUGUGCAGGAGGUAUCUGUGCAAAGAAGGGCCCCAUGCAACUCCUCUCACAGCUUGCCUCUAAAAACUCAAGAACUGGGUUUAAAUGAGAGAAACACCUUGUCUUUCUGGCAAGUUUUAGCAAUGCCUUCUAUGCAGGAAAGCAAUUUGCUUCAAGACCAAACAGAAAUGCACACUGGUUAAGAGUGAUAUAUUACAAAAACAACAGAGUAUAGCUAAAUUCAGCAAAUUAUGAAGCAAUGGCUAUUUCAGUGAGAGUCAGAGAUUCGUCUAAUGAGAUCCAGGAGUUUCAGCUCUGAACAAAAAGUGAUGAAUUCAAGCUUAAAUUCCUACAAGUAACCCCUAUUCUACAUUAAAGGUAACCAUCCAUCACAUUUUUAACUACAUCUACAAGGGAGUUCAGUAACUUCAGUCUAAAAAAUUCAAAACACAGACAUAUUUUCAGCCAAAACAAAGCCAGAGCCAGCAGUAAUUUUAAUUCUUUUCACUAAGUAUUGUUCUGGCCAUAAGACUAUGUGUAAAAUGGAUGUGGUUGAAGCCACAAUGGACUGUAAGGUUUAUAGGAUGAACAAGUUGCUAAGGAAGAGCUUGCAUGCCUAAAAACUUACAUUAUUCCAGCUGGAGUGCAUCCUGUAACAACAGUACUUCUUUAUUCUUCCAUAUCUUCCCUAAAAAGCUGAGCGCUCUGGCUGAAGACAGGCCAGGAGAGGCGCAUGGAUGUUUGCCUUCUUCAUGUUGCCUGAAAACCUAGUCCUUGUCUCAUCUGGGAACAGGACAGUCAUGCCAAGUGGAUGCAUCUCCCUGCAUCUGUGGAGAGACAGCAAAUGUGCUGUCUGGAAAGUAUCUGUGUUCUAGGAGGUGAGAAACUGGCUUGGGCUGUUUGAUUUCACUUCUACUCAGAGAAAUGGGGCAAUGAACUUUCUAAUAAACAGGUUUGGUUCACAGAGGGAUGACUCCACCAUCGAUCAUUCCACCAGAGGAAUAACUCAAGAUUCGAAAAUUUUAACCAGAUAAUUUUAUCAAAAGAAUAAUAAAAAAAAAAAAAAAAAAAAAAAAAAAAAAAGGACCAAGUAAUGACUUAAAACAAUUGCUGUGAUAUUACAUCUACAUAGGAUCUACUGGCCUAUAUGUCAGUUUUAAUCUGCCACUGGUUAAAUCCUACAUACUGAGCAAAAUAACUUACCAACACAAUACAUGCAAAGUAAAUAAAUACUCAAGCAACACUCUAUGUCCCACAUCCACUCAGAUACCAGAAGUGUGUAUUUCCAGUCUGUGAAAUACAAUGAUAAGUAAAAACAGUGAUUCUCCAUGAGUGCAUUACUCAGAAGAAGCAAUGUUAAGGCAGUCAGUGUGAUCUUUAAAAAUCACUCCCAGUAAAUAAAUAAAUAAGCACCUCUACCUGCACAGCUAUCUGAAGACAAGUUAACAAAUUCUGUUUUCCACUUAUUAGCAAAUCAGUUGUUCUGUAAAGAAUACAUGAUCAAAACCUACAGCAACAGCUGGCACAUGUAUAAAGCGGGGCAAAAAAAUUAAGAUGAAGUAUUUCUGACAAAAAAAUAUAUGAAACAAAACAAAGUUGAAAACUGAAGCAGAUAUCAGAUAACCAUUUUGUCAUUUAUAAAAUACUUUUUCAGGACAAAAGGGGUUGCCAUACCUUUUCACUCAGCAUAUCCUCAGAGUCACAUAUUAAGCUGAUCAAAUCCGAGGGUACUGCAGUAAGCUGAAGCUUGAAGCUGCCUCCACUUCCUUCAUUUCGUUUACAGUUUUGUUUGGGGGUUGUUCUUUUUUUUCUUUUUAGCUUGCAGAAACCUGAGGGAAAAAAUAUUUUGGGGGUUACUAUCGAAAUAGUUUAUUCAGUAGUCAAUUAACUGAAAAAAACAAAUAGUUCUAAACUGAUCUCUUAUAUACCAUGCCCCUUUUUAUAUCAUAGUUAUUGGUUCCAUUCUGUUGUUAUAUUUUACUGAAAACAUUAUGAAUAUAAAUGAGAAUAGUGCACAAAGAGCAGAGGUGAAGAUAUGUCCCAUUAGAAAUCUGCUUUUUUACUUACAUUUACUGAGGUUAUCAAGUACCUCUUUAUGAACUCUUCAUCCCUUUCUAAAAGGUAAAGUUGAAAUUGGGAAAUAUAUUGCAUCAGUUAUUGGGCAUUCUGGGGUUUUCCAUUAUUUUAAAAACCUCCUAUGUGCCUAAUUAUAGCUAAUAAGUACUGUUUAGAAACAUAGCAGAGAACUCAUGAUUUCCUUCUUCACCCAAUGCCCAGAAAAUCCAUGUCCGAGAACAAAAUCUUGAAGGUAUUUGUGAUCAUGACCCAUUCUCAUUAUCUGUAUCCAUUCUAAGAUUUUUAUAUUAUAUGAAUGAAUAUUUUAAAGUGAAAUUAUAGUAUUCAAUGGCAAAUUACAACUACAUGUGACCAAGAGAGGAUUAAACCCAUCAUUUUGCUUAAGAGCUCUGAUGGCUGGAGUAAUUGGAUGAUAGCUGUAGGGCAUCUUUUUGGUCUGUAAUUAGGUCAUUUCUUUCUCAUCCCUUCACUGUGUGUAUAAUUACGAAUUAAUUUGAAAUCCCACUGUGAGUAAAGAAAGUCAGUUUAAUAUAACGGAAGUGCAAAAGCCACAAUAUAUUACUUUUUAAAAACUGCUUAUUUCAAAAUACUCAGUCUGGCCAAAAGUUAUAUCCCUAUGUACUGCAAGGCUUAUAUUUGGUUUCUUUGCUAACUUUGUACAAGUGCUGCUCUGAAAGUAAUGCCUCCUGUUUUAUUAUGUUGGUGUGCAAUGUCAGAGGUGGAUUUUGGUGGUACAUCAGGAGAGGUUGAACCUUCACACCAGUAUUCCACUACAUUUUGUUGCUGUGUGACAGAUGGCAGCAGAGGGUCAGUCUGACAAAAUGGCUUCUGACACGGAAGCAUCUGAGAAGAAAAGAUGUGGAACUGAAUUCCUCCAUGUGGUAAAAAAAUUGCAUCCAUUGACUUUCACUGAUGCUUGCUGAACAUUUAUGGAGAUCAAACAGUGGAUGUGAGCUCAGUGAGGUUGUGGGUAAUGUGUUUCAACAGCAGUGAUAGUGGCAGUGGUUCACCUCCACCGGUGCAAAUUUUUACAAGAACAGCAAGCAGGUUCUCGUUCAUCGUUGGCAAAAAUGCAUAGCUAAUGACAGUGAAUAUGCAGCAAAAUAAAGUUUGUAUUUGAGAAUUUUCUCUAUGAAAUAGUGUUAUUGUGCUCUUUGUAUUUGUUGCAGUUUCUAUGGAAAUAAACAGCAAGUAUUACUUUUGAAUCAAUCUACGUUCCUGGAUGUAUUUUCUCUCUUAAAAUAAAUGAAUUUUCAAAGCACCACACUUUGCUCCAGUAUCUGUCAGUAGGUGUCAACAGCACAAAAAGGUAGUGGAAAGAAAUAAAAAGUAACCAUGAGAGUCUUGACAGACAGUAUUAGCAUCAGAGAACUUAGAGGCCACUCUCAACACAGUCAACCAUUUUAUCCUUUAGUCCUGCCAUUAUUUCCUUCCACUGAAACUACCUUUCUGCUUUUACCCUGAAAGUGUUAAACACUG
ensembl:lncRNA